GGGAACCUGCCAGUAGAUUUCCAUUUUUUAUGCAACAGAGAAAUGAGAAUUUAGCAUCCCUCAAACUGACACUUUUUAAUAGCAAACUGGGAAGCAACCUUCCCCUAGCACUCCCCAGCAGGUCACAGCUGUAUCUUGCUUUCCACUCUUACGUAUUUUACAUCUUUCCAGACAAUUACAACUUACUAUUUCUGUUAAGUUCACCACUUGUGACUAUAAUUAUCAAUUUUCUUGUAGUCUGUAGAGAUCUAAAACGUUGUAUAUGUUUGUAUAUAGAACAUUCUAUAUAUAUAAAUAUAUAUAUGUAAUGUAUAUGUUGUAUAAGUUUGUUAGUGCACACUGUUAAAUGCUUUCUAUCCAGAUUUACCAUGUAUGUGGAAAAAAACAAACAGCCUUCACUUAAAAACAUCAAUGAGGGAGGAGAAACUCCUCUGGCCUGGUUGGUUUAUUGUGAAAUGAGGGGGAGUGUGGGAUUUUUGAGGCCUGACCCAAACGCUACUGAAGGCACAAAGAUGCAGCAUUCCAAGCAACAAGCACAGCAUCUGACCCGACUUGCCAUUAGAAAAUUGAGGACACUGGCUGUCAAAAUCAUGUGCUUUCACCUUCCCCCCUAAGACAGCACCACCUCAGGCAAAAUCCUAACCAUAGCCUUAUCUUCAACAUCACAACCCUCUGUUACAAUAGACCACAGUGGCUGGAAAUAUUAGCUGAAUUUCAGAUGCAUUUAGGUCAUUUGGAUACCCUGUUCCCUCAGCUCUCUAUCCCACCCACAUCCAAAACCAGAUACAAACACACACACCUGGGGUCAACCAGAUGUUUUUAAACUUAUGCCUACAGCUGUAGGUAGACAGAGUAUGCAGAGAAAAUGCAUGAGGUUAUUUAUAAGGUUUCAGAGUUGACAAGUCCUCAAUGAAUUACAAGCUAUUUGAUUAAAAAAGAAUGAAAUCCAUUUCCUAGAGCCUUAAAUUCAGUUUCAAAUCUUGAAUUAAAAAACAUGAUUAAGGAAAAUUUGAGAAACAGGUUUUGGUUUGUAUCAUUAACUGUUCUCUAAAUUCUUUUUACAGUUCUGCAUUUCAACUAUUUAUAUCAAUUAGAUAUUUCUUCUAUUACCAAAAUAUAGCUUGUUAUACAAAUAUUUAACAGAAACACUCUAUUUACUACCCAUAAAAUUAUCACAUACAGAAAUUCUCUUAAACAGUUUACAUAUUCCUCUAGAGAAGCCCUUUCACACCACAAUGUGUGCAUUGUAAUGAAGAUAUACAUACAAAAAUGGUUUUAUCAGUAUACAAUUUAAGAAGAAAGCACUGCAGCUUAAAGAGCAGCAGUGUCAGCCUCAGGACUCCUCCAUAUAUAAACUGUGUGUAUUGUAACACAGGCAAACCCCUCAGAUUUCAGCUACUCAAAUCCCCACCCUGUGCCCCCCCCCAUACAGCCUUCUCCAUAGCCUAAAGGUGAAUUCAAGCACAGUAUGUUUCAGUCUACAGUGUUCUUCUGCCUUGGCAUGGUCUUAGUAAGAACACACUCUCUCUCAUUAAGGAACUACGUGUGGCCAUUUGUAGUCAACUCUUCAUCUUAGGUGUAUAAGCAAUAGUCACGUAAAUGAGUGUUUCCAUUCAUGUGUUUUGUUUUGUGAUUAAGUCAACAAAUCGAACAUUGUACUUUUUUAAAUAGCAACCAAUAUUCAGAUUCAGUGUCAAGGAAACAUGGACAGAAUAUGUGUGGGGUUUGUUACCGAGUGAGUCAUUACCUGUAUCUCGGGACGAAGGCUGAACACUCCUGCACUAACCAUGGCCUGUUUGCACAGGUAUCGUCAGGCAGCGUCACAAAAGGAAAACCAAGGCAUCUUUAACUGAGGCUGUUUUGAGUCCCCAGUAACAACCAAAAAAAAUAAAAAGAGGGAAGGAAAAUAAAGGCAAGAAUUGAUAUUG
rnacentral:lncRNA from 1 species